UAGCAUUACCAAAAGACCACAAAAUAUAAGAGAUUAACAACAAGAAAAAGAUAAAAGGGAACACAACAAUGACUCGAAUGCGCAUUUCGUUCCACAAGACCCAACCACCAAGGCUGAUUGUGUUAUGGUACAGGUAUGUGAUUUGAGUUCCACGUCCAUUUUUAUGUGUUGAUGUGUAGUCUACCUUAAUUGCAUACGAUAUAUACGAGGUGGGGUGGUUUGUUAUCAAAAAUAGAUUUACGAUUUAAACUUUGUUGGUUCAAUCCUAUCAUAUUUUUAUAGUUAUGAGUUCAGAUCUAUUAUGUGUUGGACCUCAGCCCGAAGAGCACUUCCCUGGCGAAGAGAUUGAAAGAACGGAACUCCAGCGCCGUCAGACGUCCGAGGCUUCCUCUUUCCCUUUAAAAUAAAAUCGGUGAAGUUCAUCCUAAAGUUCAAAAUCUACAUCCAACACCAGAAGUUUCUGAUGAGAACAAAUUGUAAGGCAAUUUUAGUAAUUUUUUAUACUAAAUUUAUGCUCUAUAUCAGAAGUAUCAGUUUCAUAUGCACCCGAUACUAUAUAGUCUUGAGUGAUAUGUACCCGGUACUAUAUAGUCUUUGGUUCUCCCACCUUAAAAAAUUUAGCAUUAACAAUAAAUUUAUGAUCACAAUGAAAGUAAGCUAAUCACAAACACUUAACAGGGAAAGAAAUUUCUCUUUAAGUACCGGACCUAUUAAGCUACACUACACAUGAUUUAAUUAAUUGGGGAUGUAGUUUGUAUGGACUAAUAAAUACAUAGAAAAAUACCACGAAGCAAAUUCAGGCCCACAUCCCAAUACUGUUUCAAUCUCCGAGGACAGAAUAAGAAAUCAUUGUCAAUAAUUCCAUGUUUAAUCAGACAAAAUAAAACAAGGAAAUGAUCAAAAUGGUCCUUAAUGUAUGGGGUUGGACCAUCUUGGUCCUUAAUGUAUACUCCUUGAUAGAAAUAGUCCUUCGUGUAUAGAAAAGGUGGGCAUUUUUAGCCCCCAAGACUCCAGUUAAAUUUUACAGAACCUGUCACGAGCAUCUCACGUGAGAUGCCAUAAACACAAAAUAGAGAAAACAAACCUUCCUGCUCGAUCGCACUGAUAAUUCAUUUGCCAAAUCUCACGAGUCACGUGCUUCUUUAUUUUUUUGUGUUCAUCAAAACAGUUCGGACAAAACUAUCAUCAUCAGAGUCACCCCGCGGGUCGUGGCAUGCAACUUCCCGCUUUUAAUCACCGCUUACUCCAGUACAUAAUAAGUGAUUAUUUUACUUUUGACACAUCCAUUAAAGAAAUACAAACUCUUAGAGAAAAAAAGAUGUAUUCACUAAAUUAACCUUAAUUAAUUGUUACCUUGACACAUUGAAAUAUGUAAAUAAGGGCAAAUUUGAAAAAAUAAAAUUAAUUCCUUCUUGAUUAUGUAAAUUAACACUUAUUUUGGAUUAAAAAAAAGACAAAAUGGUCACUUAUUACGGAUCAGGGAAUAUAUCACUUCACCGCCCCCUAUUAAAUUUUCCCACUUCCCCAUAAAACUACCUCAACUUAAUUCUCUGUCAGAUACAAAAUAUAGUACUCCCUCAAAUAUCAUACUACGGGUUAGGGGUGUCAAUGGUUCGGUUCGACCGAUUAUUUUAUAAAAUUUAUAUCAUACCAAUUUUUCGGUUAUUCUAUUAUGUAUAAUCAAAAUUAAACUUUUUGAAACCGUCCCAAUCAUGUCAGUUUCUCUUCGGUAUCGGUACGGUUCGGUUAAUUUUCGGUAUUUUUUUAAAUCUCGUGUAAAAGUGUAACGACCUAGCCGGCCGUUUUGAGAGUUGUAGCCUCGUUUUCCCAUUUACUGCUCAUUUUGUACUCUAUAGCUGUUAUGUGACUUGUCGGGGUAGUCGGUUCGGGUCCAGUGUGAUUUCAGAAUGAAAUGAGACACUUAGUCUCAAGGUUGAAAGUUUAAGUUAAAAUGAUUGACCGGAUGUUGAUCUUUGAGUAAACGACUCUGGAAUGAAGUUUUGAUAUUUCUGUUAGCUCCGUUAGGUGAUUUUGGACUUAGGAGCGUGUCCGGGUUAUGAUUUGGAAGUCCGUAGUGGAAUUAGGUUUGAAAUGGCGAAAGUUGGAAUUUUUAGAAAGUUUGACCGGGAGUGAACUUUUUGAUAUCGGGGUCGGAUUCCAAUUCCGGAAGUUGGAGUAGGUCUGUAAUGUCAUUUGUGACGUGUGUGCAAAAUUUAGGGUCAAUCGGAUGUGAUUUGAUAGGUUUCGAUAUCGUUUGUAGAAAUUGCGAGUUUAAAGUUCAUUAGGCUUGAAUCUAUGUGCGAUUCGUGUUUUUGAUGUUGUUUGAGGUGGUUUGAAGGCUCGACUAUGUUCGUAUGAGGUGUUAAGACUUGUUGGUAUAUUUGGUUGAGGUCCCGGGGCACUCAGGGUGAUUUUCGGAAGGUUUUCAGAUCAAAGUUUGAGUUGGAGGAUUGCUGAAGUGUGCUAGUGUAAUCACACCUGCGGAGCUUUGAUCGCAGGUACGAGCUAAGAAGCGCAGAUGCGGCCAGACGUGGGGGAGGACAGUGGUCGCAUGUGCGAAGAUAUUUCUGCACCUGCAUGGUCGCAGGAGCGGAGUGAUGGGCGCAGAAGCGGAAGUUUGCGCAGGUGCGAUGGGCAAUUCUGCACCUGUGAUGGCGCAGAUGUGGGGGAAAGGACCGCAGAAGCGGAGGUCCAGCUCCAGUGGUUCACUGCAGAAGCCGAAUUUUGGUCGCUUCUGCGACGCCGCAGAUGCGGUUAAGUGUCUGCAGAAGCGGAAGUGCUAGACAUAAUAUUUAAAAGCAAGGGUUCACGAUUUUGGCUUCACUUUUAACAUUUCAAGCACGGUUUAGGCGAUUUAUGAGAGGGUUUUCGAGGGGAUUCUUGAGGUAAGUUCCUUGUGCCUUUUUUUUAUCAAUAAUAUUGCUUCCCCAUUGAUUUUUCUACCUAGUUGGUGUGUAUUUAAAGUGUAGAUUGGGAGUUUGAGACUAGGAAUUUGGAGAGUUUGAUUUGGGGAUUUGGGUGACGAUUUGGUGUCGGAUUUUGAUAAAUUUGGUAUGGUUGGACUCAUGAUUGAGUGGGCUUUUGGGUUUUGUGACUUUUAUUGAAUUUUGAGACGUGGGCCCGGGGCCCGGCUUUUGAGCCGAAUUUUUAUUUUGAUUAAUAACUUAGCAUUUUCUUAUGGAGUUGAUUCCUUUAGCCCGUAUUGAUUAUAUCGCAUUGUUUAUGGUUAGAUUCGAGGUAUUCGGAGGCCGUUUCGCGAGGUAAGGGUAUAUUGGAGUAGAGAUUUGCUCGAAUUGAGGGAAGUAACAGUUCUAAAUUUGGUUCCGAGGGUACGAAACCCCGUAUUACGUGUCAUAUAUUUGGUUUUGAGGUGACACACAUGUUAGGUGACGGACGUGUGAGCGUGCACCGUAUGAAUUAUAACUUGGUCAAAUUCUAUGGGACUGUGUAGUGAAUAAUCUGUUAUUUGUUUAUUCUCCAUGUAUUAGAGAAAUUGAACCACAAAUCAUGUUUAGACUACGUGUGUGCAUUGUAGGGACCCACAGAGGUCGUGUACAUGUUGAAUUAUCUGCUAAAUUGCUGUCUUGUACUCAGUCACAGUUUAUUUGUAUAUUACAUCUUGGUCUCUAUUGUUCAUUUUGAUGCAUCAUAUCAUUGCCGUAUGGGCUGCUUAUUAUUAUUUCUGAGAGCCCGAGAGACUGGAGAGAUUGAUGACUGAGUGAGGCCGAGGGCCUGAUUGUAAGGUAUUAUACUAUAACACGUGAGUUGUCUGUGCGGAUCCAGAUAUUAUACUAUAGCACGUGAGUUGUCCGCGCAACACGUGAGUUAUCCGUGCAGAUCCAGAUAUUAUAUUAUAGCACGUAAGUUGUCCGUGCAGAUUAUAGCGCUUGGGCUGAAGGAGCCCCUCCGGAGUCUGCACACACACACAAUGAGCGCAGGUACCUACUGAGUGCGAGUGUUGAGUGCUGAGUGAAUGAGAUGGCUGAGUGAUUGUGGCCCUGAGAGGAUGCAUUUGAUUUUAUAUUUGUUGCACUUAGCUGCCAUGUAUCACUGUCUCAGUAAAUUUUUGAAAGAUAUUGCACUCUGUUUCAGUUGAACUUGUCAUGAAAUUACUGUUUUGGCCUUAAUUGUCGAAAGCAUGCCUACCUUCCAUGUUAAAAUCACUGUAAUUGGACUAUAACUGUAAAGCUCGUCAUUACUUUCAGUUCCUUAUUUAGUAUUGUUACUUGUUGAGUUGGUUGUACUCAUACUACCCCUUGCACUUCGUGUGCAGAUCUAGGUGUUCCCCGACAUAGUGGGUGUUGAUUUCCGCGUACCAUUGAUCUUAUGGAGAUUUCGAGGUAGCUGCCGACGUUUUCGCAUACCUUGUUUCUCUUCCCUAUCUUUUCACUUAUUGUAUUUAGUUUCAGACUAUAUUAGACAGUGUUUUUCAGACUGGUGAUGUAUAGAUGCUCAUGUACUAAGUGACACCCCGAUGUUGGGAAUUUACGUGUUGUAUUUUGGAUUUCUAUCGUGUUUAUGAGAAGUUAUUAUUAUUUAAACUAUUUUAAAUCCGUUUUCUGUUAAGUGUUGGAGUUAUUUCAUAAAUGUCGGCUUGCCUAGUACCACGAUAGGCGCCAU
rnacentral:lncRNA from 1 species